AGUGAACGCUGGCGGCGUGCCUAAUACAUGCAAGUCGAACGAGUGGCGCACGGGUGUGUAAUGUAUAGCUAAUCUUCCCUACACUAGAGGACAAAAGUUGGAAAAGACUGCUAAUACUCUAUAGUGUAGGGUGAGGCUAUAUUGUAUCAGCUAGUUGGUGAGGUAAUGGCUCACCAAGGCUAUGACGCAUAACUGGUCUGAGAGGAUGAUCAGUCACACUGGAACUGAGGCACGGUCCGGACUCCUACGGGAGGCAGCAGUAGGGAAUAUUGCUCAAUGGGGGAAACCCUGAAGCAGCAACGCCGCGUGGAGGAUGACAAUUUUCGAAGCGUAAACUCCUUUUGUUAGGGAAGCGGUACCUGACGAAUAAGCACCGGCUAACUCCGUGCCAGCAGCCGCGGUAAUUC
rnacentral:rRNA from 1 species